UACGUAGGGGGCAAGCGUUGUCCGGAAUUAUUGGGCGUAAAGAGCUCGUAGGCGGUGUGUUACGUCGGCCGUGAAAACCUGCAGCUUAACUGUGGGCGUGCGGUCGAUACGGGCAUCACUGGAGUUCGGCAGGGGAGACUGGAAUUCCUGGUGUAGCGGUGAAAUGCGCAGAUAUCAGGAGGAACACCGGUGGCGAAGGCGGGUCUCUGGGCCGAUACUGACGCUGAGGAGCGAAAGCGUGGGGAGCAAACAGG
rnacentral:rRNA from 1 species